CACAGGCGUAUGCGAAUGCUGUUGCUGUUAAAAAGCUCGUAGUGCAGUGUGAUACCGUGUUGCCGGCUGUCGUCCGCAAGGGCUUCGGUUUUCUUUCCGGUGUCUUUUCGAACAGGCGUUGUGGAUGUAUCCUUCAUUGGUUGUGUCCACCGUUUUGCAAUUGCCACUUGCGCACUGCGGCUGUUCUAUUGUUACCGUGAGCCAAUCAAUGUGUUCAAAGCAGUCCGUCUGAAAGGAUUUCGUGGCUGAAUGCUCAAGCAUGGGAUGACAAGGGAGCGAUCACUGGUUGUUGAUUGUUUCGUCGGUUUUGAAACGUCCAGGAGUAUCGGAGAUGAGGUAGCUGGUCAUGGAAGCGAUCUGCGGAUGUGAUCAGCCCCUUCUCUGCGGCACAAACAGAGGCAGGUGGGGUACCCUGUAUUGCUUGGGAAGGAGUGAAACCCGUUGAUCCAAGCAAGACGGACGGAAGCGAAGGCGUU
rnacentral:rRNA from 1 species